GCAAAUUGUCUUUUUGGAUUAACAAGGAGAAAACAUCCCAUUUCUAAAACAUGCGAAAAAAUAAAUCGGUGCAACAUCUACAAAUCAUCGCAUGAUGAUAACAGCACAGAUAGGCUUUCUAACUCUAAAAGUCACAGAUAUGCGGAGACCACGAGACCUAACCCAUUGGUAUAAUGAUGGUGUCUCCUUCUUCCAUCAAAGAUCAACUGUAUGCACAAGAAUAACCAUAAGAACCUCAUGGAAUUCUUAAAAUAUAACACCAGAAACACACUUGGCCUACGGUUACAAGAAGGAACACCCUAACUGACAACUGGC